rnacentral:rRNA from 1 species
CCUAACUCAGGGAGGUAGUGACAAUAAAUAUCAAUGCGGGGCCUUUCAGGUCUUGCAAUUGGAAUGAGUACAACAUAAAAAACCUUAACGAGGAUCAAUUGGAGGGCAAGUCUGGUGCCAGCAGCCGCGGUAAUUCCAGCUCCAAUAGCGUAUAUUAAAGUUGUUGCAGUUAAAAAGCUCGUAGUUGGAUUUCUGGGUCAAGCUCCUGGUCCGCCGCUAGUCGGUGCAGACUGUGUGCAGCGUUGGCUCAUCCUUGUGGGAAAGGCAGUGCGUCGUUCAUUCGUCAGCUGUCGGAACCGCAUCUUUUACUGUGAAAAAAUUAGAGUGUUCAAAGCAGGCUUACGCUGUGAAUAUAUUAGCAUGGAAUAAUAAGAUAGGACUUUGGUACUAUUUUGUUGGUUUGCGCACCAAAGUAAUGAUUAAUAGGGACAGUUGGGGGUAUUCGUAUUCCGUUGUCAGAGGUGAAAUUCUUGGAUUUACGGAAGACGAACUACUGCGAAAGCAUUUACCAAGGAUGUUUUCAUUAAUCAAGAACGAAAGUUAGGGGAUCGAAGAUGAUCAGAUACCAUCGUAGUCUUAACCAUAAACUAUGCCGACUCGGGAUUGGCAGGCGUUACUUUUUUGACCCCGUCAGCACCGUAUGUGAAAACAAAGUCUUUGGGUUCCGGGGGGAGUAUGGUCGCAAGGCUGAAAUCCAUAU